rnacentral:rRNA from 1 species
CGGGCGAGGCGCCGAUCUAAGUCCCUUGGAACGGGGCGUCAUAGAGGGUGAGAAUCCCGUAUGUGACCGGUGACCGAGCCCAUGUGAAACUCCUUCGACGAGUCGAGUUGUUUGGGAAUGCAGCUCAAAAUGGGUGGUAAAUUUCAUCUAAAGCUAAAUACCGGCCAGAGACCGAUAGCGCACAAGUAGAGUGAUCGAAAGAUGAAAAGCACUUUGGAAAGAGAGUCAAAAAGUACGUGAAAUUGUUGAAAGGGAAGCGCUUGCAGCCAGACCUGCCCGCGGGUGAUCAACCGUCCUUCUGGGCGGUGCACUCGCCCGCGAUCAGGCCAGCAUCGGUUCGGGCGGCCGGAUAAAGGCCUCGGGAACGUAGCUCCUUUCGGGGAGUGUUAUAGCCCGUGGUGCAAUGCGGCCCGCCUGGACCGAGGACCGCGCUUCGGCAAGGAUGCUGGCGUAAUGGCUGUAAGCGGCCCGUCUUGAAACACGGACCAAGGAGUCUAACAUCUAUGCGAGUGUUUGGGUGUCAAACCCAUACGCGUAAUGAAAGUGAACGGAGGUGGGAACCCCUUCCGGGGCGCACCAUCGACCGAUCCAGAUGUCUUCGGAUGGAUUUGAGUACGAGCAUCAAUGUUGGGACCCGAAAGAUGGUGAACUAUGCUUGAAUAGGGUGAAGCCAGAGGAAACUCUGGUGGAGGCUCGCAGCGGUUCUGACGUGCAAAUCGAUCGUCAAAUUUGGGCAUAGGGGCGAAAGACUAAUCGAACCAUC